AUUGAACGCUGGCGGCAGGCCUAACACAUGCAAGUCGAACGGUAGCACAGAGAGCUUGCUCUUGGGUGACGAGUGGCGGACGGGUGAGUAAUGUCUGGGAAACUGCCCGAUGGAGGGGGACAACUACUGGAAACGGUAGCUAAUACCGCAUAACGUCUUCGGACCAAAGUGGGGGACCUUCGGGCCUCACACCAUCGGAUGUGCCCAGAUGGGAUUAGCUAGUAGGUGGGGUAAUGGCUCACCUAGGCGACGAUCCCUAGCUGGUCUGAGAGGAUGACCAGCCAAACUAGAACUGAGACACGGUCCAGACUCCUACGGGAGGGAGCAGUGGGGAAUAUUGCACAAUGGGCGCAAGCCUGAUGCAGCCAUGCCGCGUGUAUGAAGAAGGCCUUCGGGUUGUAAGGUACUUUCAGCGGGGAGGAAGGCGUUAAGGUUAAUAACCUUGGCGAUUGACGUUACCCGCAGAAGAAGCACCGGCUAACUCCGUGCCAGCCGCCGCGGUAA
rnacentral:rRNA from 1 species